CACGUAGGGCGCAAGCGUUGUCCGGAAUUAUUGGGCGUAAAGAGCUCGUAGGCGGUCUGUUACGUCUGCUGUGAAAACCCGGGGCUUAACCCUGGGCUUGCAGUGGAUACGGGCAGGCUAGAGGUAGGUAGGGGAGAAUGGAAUUCCCGGUGUAGCGGUGAAAUGCGCAGAUAUCGGGAGGAACACCGGUGGCGAAGGCGGUUCUCUGGGCCUUACCUGACGCUGAGGAGCGAAAGCGUGGGGAGCGAACAGG
rnacentral:rRNA from 1 species